rnacentral:rRNA from 1 species
UGGGGAAUAUUGCACAAUGGGCGCAAGCCUGAUGCAGCCAUGCCGCGUGUAUGAAGAAGGCCUUCGGGUUGUAAAGUACUUUCAGCGGGGAGGAAGGGAGUAAAGUUAAUACCUUUGCUCAUUGACGUUACCCGCAGAAGAAGCACCGGCUAACUCCGUGCCAGCAGCCGCGGUAAUACGGAGGGUGCAAGCGUUAAUCGGAAGUACUGGGCGUAAAGCGCACGCAGGCGGUUUGUUAAGUCAGAUGUGAAAUCCCCGGGCUCAACCUGGGAACUGCAUCUGAUACUGGCAAGCUUGAGUCUCGUAGAGGGGGGUAGAAUUCCAGGUGGAGCGGUGGAAUGCGUAGAGAUCUGGAGGAAUACCGGUGGCGAAGGCGGCCCCCUGGACGAAGACUGACGCUCAGGUGCGAAAGCGUGGGGAGCAAACAGG